AACGAACGCUGGCGGCAUGCCUAACACAUGCAAGUCGAACGAGACCUUCGGGUCUAGUGGCGCACGGGUGCGUAACGCGUGGGAAUCUACCCUCAGGUUCGGAAUAACUCAGAGAAAUUUGAGCUAAUACCGGAUGAUGACGUAAGUCCAAAGAUUUAUCGCCUGAGGAUGAGCCCGCUUAGGAUUAGGUAGUUGGUGAGGUAAAGGCUCACCAAGCCGACGAUCCUUAGCUGGUCUGAGAGGAUGAUCAGCCACACUGGGACUGAGACACGGCCCAGACUCCUACGGGAGGCAGCAGUGGGGAAUAUUGGACAAUGGGCGAAAGCCUGAUCCAGCAAUGCCGCGUGAGUGAUGAGGGCCUUAGGGUUGUAAAGCUCUUUUACCCGGGAUGAUAAUGACAGUACCGGGAGAAUAAGCUCCGGCUAACUCCGUG
rnacentral:rRNA from 1 species